rnacentral:rRNA from 1 species
GAUGAACGCUGGCGGCGUGCCUAAUACAUGCAAGUCGAGCGAACAGACGAGGAGCUUGCUCCUCUGACGUUAGCGGCGGACGGGUGAGUAACACGUGGAUAACCUACCUAUAAGACUGGGAUAACUUCGGGAAACCGGAGCUAAUACCGGAUAAUAUAUUGAACCGCAUGGUUCAAUAGUGAAAGACGGUUUUGCUGUCACUUAUAGAUGGAUCCGCGCCGCAUUAGCUAGUUGGUAAGGUAACGGCUUACCAAGGCGACGAUGCGUAGCCGACCUGAGAGGGUGAUCGGCCACACUGGAACUGAGACACGGUCCAGACUCCUACGGGAGGCAGCAGUAGGGAAUCUUCCGCAAUGGGCGAAAGCCUGACGGAGCAACGCCGCGUGAGUGAUGAAGGUCUUCGGAUCGUAAAACUCUGUUAUUAGGGAAGAACAAAUGUGUAAGUAACUAUGCACGUCUUGACGGUACCUAAUCAGAAAGCCACGGCU